GUGCGCUCCUAGGAGACGCUAACGCCGUUGCUGACCCGACAGGAAGCAGAGUUCAGGCGGUAAUGCGAGAGGGGAGUGGCUGUAAAUACAGAUGAAGCUCUGCUCGCUCACCCACCGCACGCCUCCUGCUGUGCCGCCCCGUUCCUAACAGGCCAUGGACUGGUACCUUUCUGUGGGACCCCUGGCUUUGAGGAUUCAGUGAGACAGUGACUAUCAUCUGCUCUCCCCACAGUCCCAGGAACCAACCGGGUUUACACAUGCUGUGCUCAUCUUAGGAACAUCCAACCUAGAAUGGCCUGUUCUGUCCUCCCUCACACCACCAUGAAGCAAUUAUUGCCCAGCCUGGGCCACAUAGUGAGACUCUGCAUUUAAAAAAAGAAAAAAGAAAAAAAGCCAGGGUGACUUCAUUCAUCGUGACGAGUCCACCAGAGUCCUGAGGCUGGGCUGGAGUUUGUCCAGGAAGGUGUAGCGGUUUUGAUUCCACAAGGGGAAGGAAGAAUGGAGCUCUCCACUGGUGAAUGAAGCAGCACCUGUUUUGAUCCACAGACCUUCUUGCAUCCAUCUGCUCCUUGGAUGAAUUGUUAGUGGAAUGAAGCUGGUCCCACUGAGCUCCACAGCCUCGCCUUCUGCUCCCUAAGCCACACUUUUCAGCAUACAAGCAACAGGCCUUACCUGAGCCCGAGUCCCUGACUGCUGAAAAUACGAUUGCAGCUUCAAAAUGCAGAACCAGCUGUUCUCCCUGUCAUUUGUGGCAUGACUUAAUUCGCUUCCUCCUCCUCCACUGCAGGCAAGGCUCCUAAGGCACAGUCCUUAGAAAAAUUCUGAGGGUUCUGUUGGAAAGUAGGGAGGGGAGGCAGCUUGCCUUUUAUCUUGUUUAUGCUCUUGGGCUGAGUCUCAAAUUGUCAUGCUAUAAUGGUCUAUCCUAGGCAGAGAUCUAGACGGCAGGUAACAGAUUUAAACACUUACCAGUGACUACCUUAUUUUUCCAAAGAGUGUUGAAGCCAACUGGGGACCAGUGGGGAUCAGGUCAGAUGAUUUGAUGUAACUGUUGUAACAAAACUAAAAUCUACUCAUCAUCAUGGUGACAUAAGAGGCCUGCAGUUUAACUCGGGAUAAGGUGUGACCUGCACACUCUGACAGGGGAACCUGGACCACUGUAAUCAGCAGAUGCCAUGAGGGUCCCAGGCCCAAGGCUGCCAGGUAGUGAGGGCAGCCUGUGCAGUGGGGCUCUGGGUUCUCCACUGGGCUCAACCCCAGCUGCAGAAGGGCGAGGUGUGCCCUUCCAUCCCUGGGUGAGGGCCAGGAACCACCACUGCCCAAUUAACUAUACCUUUAGAGGUACAUCCUAAACACAGAUCACCUGUAAAGCAGUUAAUGUGACUUGAUCAUGGGGGUCCUAAUUAUCCAAUAAACAAGGCCAGCCACAAAACAACCUAACUUGAUGAAGUUUCAAGUCGGCACUUGUCUAUUCCAUUCCUUUCUUGGCCUUUGUCAAACUUAACUCUGGAUAAAGAAACAGUAACAAAAACAA